CCAUAACAGAAUUAUUGGUCCUAUUCCCCAAUCCAUGGGAAAUUUGACAAACUUAGAAUCAUUGGAUCUCUCCUCAAAUAUGCUCACUGGUGGGAUACCUACGGAAUUAAGCAACUUGAACUUCCUUGAAGUCCUAAAUCUUUCCAAUAACCAUCUUGCUGGAGAAAUACCUCGAGGACAACAGUUCAGUACUUUUACCAAUGAUUCCUAUGAGGGAAACUCUGGGUUAUGUGGACUCCCACUGACAAUCAAAUGCAGCAAGGACCCUGAACAACAUUCUCCACCUUCAACUACCUUGAGGAGAGAAGGAGGAUUUGGAUUUGGUUGGAAACCAGUGGCUAUAGGAUAUGGAUGUGGAAUGGUCUUUGGAGUGGGAAUGGGAUGUUGUGUAUUGUUAAUAGGAAAGCCUCAAUGGCUUGUGAGAAUGGUCGGAGGUAAACCCAAUAAAAAGGUGAAAAGGAAGACAAGGAUGAGAUCUAAUGAAAAUGGUAGCAGAAUGAAUUAGUUGAUAUAUGGCAUGACUGGAGAAUGUCUUGUUACAUACCUGCCAUCUUUGAAAACAAAACUUAAGGGCAAGAACUUUAUCACACUGCAUUGCAUGGGAGAUCUGGUUCAAAGUUUUGCUGUAAUAUGAAUGUGUUAUACUCUUGCUUUUGUCGUAUAACUGUGGCAUUAAUUGGUUGUAUAAUAAUAGAUGUUGUAUAUUUUUAAAAAUGGUAUGUAUUGGCCAAUGCUAAAAUAUUUUGUAUCUUAAUUCAAGGAGCUGAAUUCACGGUUUUAGCUUCCAUUGUAGUCUAUUUAAUUAAUUUUCUAACUAUUUAACCACCGUGACAUGGCUUUAGAAGCUGAGGGGUCCAGGGACUUAACUAUAAGAGCACAAACAAUGCAUACUAAAAAGUUGCAUAUUUAUUUUUAUAGCCUAGGCCUCAUGGUCCGUAGGAUAUCACAUAUUUAUUUUUUAUUAAGUAAUUUUUCCCAAAUUAGAACAAUUGUCUGGUGAAAAUUUUCAAACUUUGAAAUAAAAGUUGCAGUACUAAAAUCAGUUAUAAUUAAACCUAAACUUUUUCUUUUUCAAUUACUAUUACGAUAAAUUGGUAGUGGUACGUGCUGUAAAUAUUACAUCUACUUAUAAUGUCAGCACCCAAAAAUUAUUUUUAUAAUGUAAAAUUUACAUUGUCAUUAAUUUGCUUUAUUAAUUUUUAUUAUAACUAUUUUAAAUUUAUAUUAUUAUCAUAAAAUCUGAAAAAUCGUAUCUAUAAUUUUUAAUUAAGCGUAAAAUUUUGUAACUUUUAUAAAUUUUAGUAAAUAUUAAAAAAAUAUAUAAUAUAAUGCUAGUAUUUUUCAAAAAAAUCAACAUUAUCAUUAAAUAAACCUGUGUGUUGUACAAUAAUUCCCUUUUAUCAUUCAAAAGAAAAAUUGAAACUGUUAUUCAAAAUAAAAUAACCAUUAGUGAAUUUUAUGAUAAUUACCUUAAUGAUUAAAUAUAUUUAGUUAAUUUUUUUUGCUCCCUAAUAAAUUUUUGUUUUGUUUUGAGUACUAUAUAAAACAAUAAUUUUAUUUUUGGUCCUAGAUAUUUUGUUGUAUAUAAUCCCUAAUAAGUUAGCAAAUUUUUGUUUACUUCCUUUUAAAUUAACAAAUUUUGUUUUAGUCCCAACUAAUAACAAAUGAAAAAAAUUAUCAAGAAAUAAACACACAAUUUGUGAAUCUAUCAGGGACUAAGAAAAGUAUCAAGAACCAAAAUAAAAUGAUUUUUUUAUUAGAAACUCAACGAAAAGUAAAAAUUUAUUAAAAAUUAAAUACAAAAAAUAAAUAUUUAUUAGGGAUUAAAAUUAUAAUUAAAACUUGUCUUAAAUAUUAAAUCUAUUAUAAUUAUUAAUUGGUUCACAACAUAUAAAUAUUUACACUUGUUAAAAUAUACUAUAAUUUCUCUUAAAUUAUUAGGUAAAAUUGGUAAGAGUGUGAGAAACUUAAUUAUUUAUCAAUACCAGCUAUGUGAAUGAACUAAUGUGGGUUUUUGAGCUAGAGACUCUUGGGAAAAAAAUAUUGUCUCAUAAUGAGAAGAAUACAUCAUAAAAAAAUAGAAAAUAUAAAAAUUUGUUUAAUAUGUUUCAACCCUCAUCCUUGCAUUGACAAUAUUAUACAUUUUAAGGAUAACAUAGAAAAAUUUACAAACAUUUUCUCCUUACGAUUUCCCCUCUGUUUGUUAGGGUAGUGACAGUUUCUUCGCACUAGAUGUGGUGAUUCUUCUCAUCUCAAAAAAUCUCUAUUUAUAAACCUAACAUUCUAAUAUUAACUGAAUUCAAAUCCUUAAUUUAUAAAUAAUAUAUUUAAUUCUAAAUGAUAUCCUAAAAAUAAGAUAAUAUCUUUUUUAAAAGCUAAACAAUAUCCUAUAGAUUUGUUAUUCAUUGAUUGAACCAUCAUUAAUUCCUACAUCCACAACUUUUAUAUAAGAUUUUAUGACAAGCAAGACAAACUUGCAAACCUUCCCUUGAUAUGACUCAUCUCUCUUAGGGUAUUGACCUAGGUUGAGUGAUUAUUCUUAUCUCAUAAAUCUUAUUUUAUAGACAUAACAUUCUAAUCUUAAAUGAGGAAACAAAUACCUAAUUUAUUAAUAAUAUAUUUAAUUUUAUCAACAUUCUAAAAAUAAGAUAAUAUCUUUUUUUAAGAAAAUAAAUAUCUUAUAGAUUUGAGAAUACAAAUAAGAUAUAUCUAACAAGAAGCAAAGUUGGACUUAUGUAGAUCAACCAACUAAUCCCUAUACCCACUCAUCACCUAAGCUCAGCCAAAACUCGCUUAGGCCUCAACCCUGCAUCGCUUAAGCUCUUAGCCAACACCACUUAAGCUACAUAAAAAAACAUGCUAAUUUUUGUGCCCAUUCUAGCUUAAGCGCUACCCAACACCAUUUAAGCUACUUCAAACUAAUUUACUCAAAUUAAAAAGAAUAAUGAUUCAACUAUUUAAUCACUACACAUUAAAUACCUAAUUUAUUUUCCGCACAUCACGCAACUGGUCCAUUUAUCUUUUUUAUUUAUUUCUUACAUGUAAUUUUCUUUUUAUUUUUUAAAAUCCAAAAUUUUCAUCUCUAUUUUAAAAUAAAGAUAUUUAAUCGAUUGUUUUUUACGAUCUAUAAUUUUAAUUUUCUAUUUUAAAAUAGAAAUAUUAGUCAUUUAUAUUUAUAAAAUAUGGAAUUUUAGUUAUCCCCAACUAAAAGCUUUGAUUGUUAAGAGCUUAAUCUUUAUUAUGAUAUAGAUUAACUAAAUUAUCUUGUGUCACAUUAUUAGAUUUGAAUCACAUCAAGUUAGCUUCUUACUAAUCAACGCUAAAUGAUUAUGUGGAUAUAAUCACAAAUGAUCAAAAUUAUAAAUUUUAUAACCUUAAGUAAUUAAUUGUUUUUAUUUUAAAAUAGAAGUAUUAAAAUUGUAAAAUAUAAAAAUUAAGACGGUCAAAUAUUUUUUAAAAUAUAGAAAUCAAAAUUAGAUAUUUUGAAAAUAGGAAAAAAUUACAUUUAAGUUUUUAUUUUUAUUUUUUACCGGAGGUCCAUAUGUCUAGUACUUAGAAAUCACGUCAUUAUAAAAAUGCGCCACUAGAGCAUAAUAUAAUAGCAUGAAGGACGUCAUUAUAAUUACAUUUAAGCCAUGAAGAACGUUGUUAUAUAUGCCAAUCCGCAAUACAUGGAAACUUCUGUUAUGGUUAGUGACACCAACAACACUGAUCAUGAAACCAACUACGCUGAUUCUGUGACUGUAACAAAAAAAAACAAUUACUAUGAAAAUGGACAAAAUUCGAAAUGACUUUGUAAGCAUUGCACAACAGAUUUGUAGGAGAGAUAUUCCAAAUGCCAUUGGAGAGCUUCACUCACUCAGAGGGCUAAACCUUUCCCAUAACAGAUUUAUUGGUCCUAUUCUACAAUCCAUUGGAAAUUUGACAAAGUUAGAAUCAUUGGAUCUCUCCUCAAAUAUGCUCACUGGCGGGAUACCUAGAGAAUUAAGCAAUUUGAACUUUCUUGAAGUCCAAAAUCUUUCCAAUAACCAUCUUGCAUUUGUGGGAGAAAUACCUCAAGGAAAACAGUUCAGUACUUUUUCCAAUGACUCCUAUGGUAGAAACUUGGGGUUGUGUGGACUCCCAUUGACAGCAGAAUGCAGCAAGGACCUUGAACAACAUUCUCCACCUUCACUAACCGUUGGGGGAGAACAGGGAGUUGGAUUUGGUUGGAAACCAGUGGCUAUGUGAUAUGGAUGCGGAAUGGUCUUUGGAGUGGGAAUGGGAUGUUGUGUAUUGUUAAUAGGAAAGCCUCAAUGGCUAGUGAGAAUGGUUGGAGGUCAACUCAAUAAAAAGGUGAAAUGGAAGACAAGGAUGAGAGCUAAUGAGAAUGGUAGCAGACUGAAUUAGUUGAUAUGUGGCAUGACUGUAGAAUGUCUUCUUGCACACCUUCCUGUUGAAAUUCAAUUCUGCCUUGUUGGAAAACAAAACUUAAGGGCAAGAACCUUAUCACACUGCAUUGCAUAUGCAUGCGAGAUCUGAUUCAAAGUUUAGUUGUAAUUGUAAUAUGGUGUUGUACUUUUUUUUCUUUGUGUUCAAUAAAUGAGUGUGAUAUACUUUUUUUUUUCUUCCAUUGCCCCAGAAACUCGGGUCUGAAUCAUCCAAAAGUUUGAUAAUUUUUCUGUUCAUUAAUACGCUUAGAUUGUUUUAUUUUUUUAAACUUUUUUAUAUUGGUGAAUAGUAUCAAGUUAAGUAGUGAAUAAUGUGUUGACAAUCAACAAUCAUUUCGCUAAUAUGCUGCAUAUUAGAAAAUUGUAGCAGUCAUUAAUACCAAUUUGCAUUAUGCACGCUAUUUUGAUCCCAUUGCUGUUGUGGAAGUAGUUUUGCUCCAGACAAGGAAUGGAAAUUGACCAGGAAUUUUGUUUUUUUGUGCCAUCGAUUGAGUUUGUAUAAGUGAAGAUAUGUUGAUCUUCUGACAACCUUUUUUUUUUCGAAAUUAUAAUAAUUACUAGUUCGCUAUCUAAAUUCAUGGGAAAUUGAAAAUUGAUUCCCACGAAACUGUAUUCUUCUUCUACAUUACACUUCUCAGGUGUUCAUAGAAGUCCUCUUCCUACUGGUAAGCCGUAUCAUAUUCACUCUCCCUUGCAUUCUGAUUUUUACUUAUAAAUAAGUUAAUGUCUAAGAGCAGGGUUGAAUGAGCGUAAAAAAAGAGAUAUUUUCUAUGAAGUUUUAAAACAAAUUUUACCGAAUUACAUUGUAAUUGAUCAAAUUCCAGAACCAGCCAUUUUGUAUUCUGUUCUGUUAGGCUCUAGCGUAGCUAACCCUAUACGAACUGGCUUAGCACACUUUACAUUAGUGGUUGGGUCUUGAACAUAUAUAGUUUCUUAUGCUUUAAAUUAAUAUUAAGCAUUGUGUUACUUCUAUGAUUGAGACAGCUAAUAGAGGAUGGGGUUGGAUUUUGGAAAUAAGGGGCUCAGAUACAAGUCUAGAUCCUCUUUAGUUUGUGAACUAAAAUUUUUGUUUUGGUUUUGCCUAUCUCUUAAUCUCUUAAGCUAUUAAAAUUAUUCUAGAAUCCACCUAAAGUUUUUUAUUCAAAAAUAAGUGUUGGAGUCUUAAGAUAAUGGUAUCAAGUUUAUUUAUGUAAUUUGUUUUUGGUGACCUAUUGCGGAAAAUCUUUUUAGUAUUUACUUUCUUGGAUUUUUCAAAAAAUUGAUAUUAGAGUCAAUCUUCGAUUUAGUGACCGGUUUAGACGAGGAAGAUGACGUUGAUGAAUUUAUGGAUAUAGAAUUUAUUGUAUCAAAAGUCUUUCUAUCAGCUGAAUUCAUGCAUAAAUGUCACGUAGCAAAGUUGUAGGUGUUACAAUAGUGCAAGCUACUAGAACAUGUUAUGACAAUGGCUAGACAAGCUAGAGACAAUAAAAAUUAAGUUUUAUGGGUCACCAUUAAAUAUUCUUAGAUUGAAAAUGACUUUCGGUCUUGACUUGAGAGCCUUUUUCUUAGUUUACACCUCGGCUGUGCCAUUAACAAUUGAUAAUGCUGUCUAGCAAGCUAUAUUGUGAAGAUAAAUACUUCUCUCCAUAUUUGUCCAUUUUACAUAUUUCCUGGUGUCAAAAUAUUAUUUUUAUUGUAUUUUUAUAUUUCCUGGUGUCAAGUAUCAAUGAUAAGUUUUACCAAAAAAUAAUAAUCAAUAACUAUAGUUAUGUAUAUAAGGAUAAUAAUUAUUUGACCUCUACAACAGGAUCCUAGUAUGAAGUAGUUCUGUAUGUAAAUCUUGCACAGACAAGCCAAAAUAAUAUAGCAUUGAUCAACCUGUUAAUUAGAAGAAUCAAGUUAAAAGCAGCUUGAAAAAGAGCAGGUAUAUGUAAAUAAUAGAAUACGGGGCCAUCUUGCAGUUGAGAGCGUCAUCUUUCUCCUCAUUUUGGAAUCACUCAAAUCCAAAUUUUGUAGAUUGAGAUAAUAUCAAAAUUUAAAACUUGUUCUAGGUCGUGUUUGGUGUGCAAAUUCUAUCUUAGAAGAUCCAAUUUGAACCAAGCACGUGGUUUCCCAUCACUUCUAUACUUGAAAAUAUAAAUAUGCUACAUUAAAGAGUUUUAUUCCAUUGAAUAUUCUUUCAGAAAAUGAUUUCGCAUUGGAUGUUCCUUCUUUCUAAAUGUGAUCUUUAAAACAAUGUAGAAUUUAUAAAAAAAAAUUGCGUGUAAUGUUCCUUCUUUAACAAAGGGGUCUUUGAACAAUUUUAAAUUUUAUAAACAUUUACUAAUUCUUUUUCUGUCGAUCACCAGAGGCUUAGUAUUAGAAUUUCAAAAUUUAGAUGUGAAAGGACGAAAACUGCAAUGUGAAAAGUGAAAGUUGUUACGUGGAAGUAUAUAUGGCAAAACGAAAAGAAAAAUUGGAAAGAACAAACUCCGUGUGAGCAUCACUAAUUAAAGUUAAAGUUGGACUAAAUUAAAAGAACCAAUAAAAACAAAAGUAAGAUCACUAAUUAAAGUUAAAGUUAGACUAAAAAAAAGAACCAAUACAAACAAAAGUAAGAGAAAUAAAAGGCAACAACUUACAGGUACCUCUCCAAAUACUUGCAAGCUUAAUAAAAUAAUUAAUGAAAAUCUAAUAAUAAAAAAUGGAGGAAAUAGCCAACAUACCUGCAAUAUAUUACCAUGCAUUGUUACAUCUCUACCACAAAACAUGAAUAUCUAAUCUUAUUGGAAACGAUAUUAAUGGAUGAAAUGAUAAACAUCUCUUUUUAAACCUUAUACAUCAUUCACAUAAUUAUUUCAUGUAUCUUGUUUAACAUUUUCUAAUUUUAAUUUAUAUUUUCUUCUUCGUAAAUAUAAAGAUAUGUACACCAAUUAACAAAGUUCAUGUUGUUUACAACUUCCUUUAAAAACAAUGUUGUUUACAACUUAUUUUCUACAUUAAUUAUUAUCUUAAUCUUUUUUUUUCAAACAAAACUCAUACUCAAUUUUUCAUAUAAAAAUUAGUUCUAACAUUUAAUUUUAUUCUCAAUGUUAAGCAACCACAUUAAUAACACUUUCAAAUCAUCCACCGUAUUCUAACAAUGUCCAACUCCUAAAUUGUGACAGAUAUAAGUUUUCUAACUUAUAAAUAUUUUAAUUACUAAAUUAAAUUUUUGACAAAUAUUAAUUUUAAAAAUAUGUUAAUUUUAUACAUAUGCUUUCAACGAAUAUUUUAGAAUUAUGUAUUUUUUAAUUUAAUAUAAUAUUUUUUUAAAUAUUUCUAACAUCUUGAAAUUAUAUCAUAUACAAUUAUUAAUUUACAAAUAACUUUAUAAAUGAUAUAAUUUUGACAAAUAAAUUUUUUAUGUAUAAUUUCAAAAAAUAUUUUAUAAUUUAAUUUUUUUAUAGUUUAAGGUAAUAUUUAUAUUUUAAAUAUUUUUUCUCCGAAUUAUAGUUUAAGGUAAUUUAUUUUUCAAGGGUUAAUAUUAUUGUUAGAGUCUGUUUAGCAAGCACUAUGAGUCUGUUUCACAAGUCACUCCAGUAGCUUAUAAUUUUGUUUGACUAGCAUAUAAGUUGAUUUUAUCAAAAUAAGUUUGGGUAUCAAAACAAACUUAAUUUAAUAACUUUUAGCUUAUUUUCAGACGCUAUUUCAACUAGUAUUUUAGCUUAUAAGUUAUUAAUUUAUUUUUAUAUUUAUAUUUUAUUAUUUUACUUUGAAUUAUUUUUUAUCCUUUUUUAAAUAAAACAAAUUUAUUUAAUUAAAAUAUAAUUUUUUAGAAAAAGAAGGACACAAGUCAUAAAAAAUAAAAAAAACUACAACACUCCAUUGUUUUCAAAAGUCAUAAAUCCAUAUACAUGAAGAGGGUUAAACAAAUUCAUCAAGUCUCUAUCAUUCUUUUAUAGUAUCAAACUAAAAUUAUUUUCCUAUUUUUAUAGGAUAAUAAAUUAUUACUAUAAAAAAGAUUAUAAAUUAUUAAAAAUAAAUUCAUAUAUAUAUAAUUAUAACCAAAUAACUAAAAUAGUUUUCUUAUUAACAAAUCUUAUGGGAAAAAAAUUAAUUCAAUGAGCUACCUCACAAGCUAGUUCUGUCUGGCACACCCUAGCUAUUUCUUCCUUUGAAAUAUUUUUUGUUUGAAUUGUUUAGAUUUAAAUAUAUUUUUAAUUCUUACUAAAAAAAUUUAAUUUUGUCUUUUGUCCCUGUUAAAUUAUUGUUAACUUUUUGGUCCUUAAUAAAAAAAUUUAUUUUAUUUUUUGACUUUGGAUUUAUUUAGAUAGGGCUUUAAAAAUGAAAUAAAAUUAUUUUCAAAGUUAUUUAAGAAAAAACAAAACAAAAAUAUUAUUACAAACCAAAAAGUUAAUGGAAAUUUAUCAGGAAUUAAAGAACAAAAUUUUAAGAUUUAUGAACAACCAAAAAUAUAUUUAAACAGUUUAUAAAACAAAGAGAACAUGAAAAAUCAAUCAUUAUGCUAUUCUCCUUGAACAAGAGUUAUAAUUUCCAUCUAGUACUUCUUUAUUUGUGGAUAUUGAAAUUAUUCGAUGUAACGCCUUUAAAAUAAAUUUCAGAGAGCAACUCAGCCCAUACACUAGAUUGUGUUCUACCUUGACAGUUGAAAAAAAUGCAUUAAAAAGAAGGAUUUGCCGUGAAGGUUCAAGACAAUACAUGCAUGUUUAAUUUUAAAUGAUGAUGAUAUAAACACUAUAAGGUUAUUUGUUAUUUAUUUGAUAAGUUAACUGACUGAAUAUUUAAUUCCACUCCACUACUUGCUAAAACUGACCACCCUCAUCCGAUUCACCGAAGGUUUACAAAAUUCGCUCCGUCAUGUUAUUCCAUUUCUAGUUGGUAUUUUAAAGGGAAAAAAAUGGUUAAAUAAAGAUAUGAAGCAGAAAAAUCAAAUAAAUCAUGUUUGCAGAAAAAUGAGUUCCAAGUCAUGCGUGAGGGAUGGGCUGUUGAAGUCUUGAAGCUUAAUUUAGCCACAAACUUUGCAUAGUGUUUUUAAUUUGGGUAUAAAUAUUAGUGUUUGGUUCCUCAGUAUUUCAUGUAUAUUUUCCCUUAUAGUAAACAGUUUUGAGUAGAAUAUGGAAUCAUGGAUGUGGUGUUUCCUUCUCUGUUCCCAUUUGCUCAUCCUUUAUUUUUCACCCUCUCAUUCCUUAUGCCACCCCCAUGACAACUCUGCCUUGCUCCACUUCAAAAACUCCUUCACUAUUUAUGAAGAUCCUUAUUAUUCUUAUUAUUGUGAUCAUGGUUAUUCAAAGACGACAACAUGGGAAAAUGGGAGAGAUUGUUGCUCUUGGGCUGGAGUCACCUGCCACCCCAUCUCAGGUCACGUCACUGAGCUCGACCUCAGCUGCAGUGGCCUUCACGGCAAUAUCCAUCCAAACAGUACGCUUUUCCAUCUUUCUCAUCUUCACUCACUCAACCUUGCUUUCAAUCAUUUGUAUACAUCUCAUUUGUCAUCUCUCUUUGGUGGGUUUGUGAGCCUCACACAUCUCAACUUGUCUCAUUCUGAAUUUGAAGGGGAUAUUCCUUCCCAAAUCUCUCACCUUUCCAAAUUAGUCUCACUUGAUCUCUCGUACAAUUUGUUAAAGUGAAAGGAAGACACUUGGAAGAGUUUGCUAAAAAAAUGCAACAGUUUUAAAGGUGCUUCUUUUGGAUUUUACAGAUAUGUCUUCCAUUUCAAUCAGGACACUCAAUAUGUCUUCUUCUUUGGUAACUCUUGGUCUUCUAGCAAAUGGGCUAAGCGGAAAGUUGACAGAUGGCAUUCUUUGUUUACCAAAUCUUCAGUACCUAUAUCUUUCAUUUAAUGAGGACCUUCAUGGUCAGCAGCUUCCAGAAAUGAGUUGCAGCACAACUUCUCUUGGUUUCUUAGAUCUUUCAGGUUGUGGUUUCCAAGGGUCAAUCCCUCCCUCUUUCUCUAACCUCACACAUCUUACUUCCCUGGAUCUCUCAGCUAACAACCUCAAUGGUUCAGUCCCAUCCUCACUCUUAACCCUUCCACGGCUAACCUUUCUGAAUCUAAACAAUAACCAACUCAGUGGUCAAAUCCCAAAUAUUUUUCCUAAGUCAAACAACUUUCACGAAUUGCAUUUGAGUUAUAACAACAUAGAGGGUGAGAUCCCAUCAACACUUUCAAAUCUUCAACAUCUCAUUAUCUUGGAUCUGUCACUUUGUGAUUUCCAAGGUUCAAUCCCUCCCUCUUUCUCUAACCUCAUACUUCUUACUUCCCUGGAUCUCUCAUAUAACCACCUCAACGGUUCAGUCCCAUCCUCGCUCUUAACCCUUCCACGGCUAACUUUUCUAAAUCUCAAUGCUAAUUGUCUCAGUGGUCAAAUCCCAAAUGUCUUUCUUCAGUCAAACAACAUUCACGAAUUGGAUUUGAGUAAUAACAAAAUAGAGGGUGAGCUGCCAUCAACACUUUCAAAUCUUCAACGUCUCAUUCUCUUGGAUCUUUCACAUAAUAAAUUUAUUGGUCAAAUCCCAGAUGUGUUUGUCGGGCUAACCAAAUUGAAUAGUCUCAAUCUUUCGGAUAACAAUUUAGGAGGCCCAAUCCCAUCUUCAUUAUUUGGCUUAACACAAUUUUCUUACUUGGAUUGUUCUAAUAAUAAAUUGGAGGGCCCCCUGCCGAACAAAAUAAGAGGGUUUUCAAAUCUAACAUCGUUAAGGUUAUAUGGCAACUUCCUGAAUGGAACAAUUCCUUCUUGGUGUUUAUCUUUGCCAUCUUUGGUGGAUUUAUAUCUAUCAGAAAACCAAUUCUCAGGGCAUAUUAGUGUAAUCUCAUCAUAUUCAUUGGUGAGAUUAUCUUUAUCCCACAACAAGUUACAAGGCAAUAUUCCAGAUACAAUUUUCAGCCUUGUAAACCUUACUGACUUAGAUCUAUCAUCAAACAAUUUAAGCGGAUCUGUCAACUUUCCACUUUUCUCAAAGCUUCAAAAUUUGGAAAGACUUAAUCUUUCACAUAAUAAUCAGUUAUCACUAAAUUUCAAAUCCAAUGUCAAUUAUAGUUUUUCCAGUUUAUGGAGUUUGGACUUAUCUUCUACGGGUUUAACUGAAUUUCCAAAAUUAUCAGGAAAAGUCCCAAUUUUGAAAUUACUCCAUUUGUCCAAUAAUACACUUAAAGGUAGAGUACCAAAUUGGUUGCACGACACGAACUCAUCGUUAUAUUUAUUGGACCUCUCUCAUAACCUAUUGACGCAAUCAUUGGACCAAUUCUCAUGGAACCAACACCUCGUUUACCUUGAUCUUAGUUUUAACUCAAUCACUGCUGGCUCUUCCUCAAUUUGCAAUGCAACUGCAAUUGAGGUUCUCAACUUAUCUCACAACAAGUUGACAGGAACCAUUCCACAAUGCCUUAUUAACUCAUCAACCCUGGAAGUUUUGGAUCUGCAACUGAACAAGCUUCAUGGCCCUUUGCCAAGUACCUUUGCAAAGAACUGUCAGCUCAGAACUCUAGAUCUCAAUGGCAACCAAUUAUUAGAAGGUUUUCUGCCAGAAUCUUUGUCCAAUUGCAUUAAUCUGGAGGUUUUAAAUCUUGGAAACAAUCAAAUAAAGGAUGUGUUUCCCCAUUGGCUUCAAACUCUACCAGAAUUGAAAGUAUUGGUUUUGAGAGCCAACAAGUUGUACGGUCCCAUUGAGGGUUCAAAGACCAAGCAUGGAUUCCCCAGUUUAGUUAUUUUUGAUGUCUCUUCCAACAACUUCAGCGGCUCAAUACCAAAUGCCUACAUAAAAAAAUUUGAAGCCAUGAAGAACGUUGUUCUAUAUCCCGAUUGGCAAUACAUGGAAAUUUCUAUUUCUUUUGCAGAAACCAACUACCAUGAUUCUGUGACUAUAACAACAAAAGCAAUUACUAUGACAAUGGACAGAAUUCGAAAUGACUUUGUAAGCAUUGAUUUAUCCAAAAACAGAUUUGAAGGAGGGAUUCCAAAUGCCAUUGGAGAGCUUCAUUCACUCAGAGGACUCAACCUUUCCCAUAACAGGCUUAUUGGUCCUAUUCCCCAGUCCAUGGGAAAUUUGAGAUACUUAGAAUCAUUGGAUCUCUCCUCAAAUAUGCUCAUUGGUGGGAUACCUACAGAAUUAAGCAAUUUGAACUUUCUUGAAGUCCUAAAUCUUUCCAAUAACCAUCUUGUGGGAGAAAUACCUCGAGGACAACAGUUCAAUACUUUUCCCAAUGAUUCCUACAAGGGAAACUCUGGGUUAUGUGGACUCCCACUGACAAUCAAAUGCAGCAAGGACCCUGAACAACAUUCUCCACCUUCAACUACCUUCAGGAGAGAACCAGGAUUUGGAUUUGGUUGGAAACCAGUGGCUAUAGGAUAUGGAUGUGGAGUGGUCUUUGGAGUGGGAAUGGGAUGUUGUGUAUUGUUAAUAGGAAAGCCUCAAUGGCUUGUGAGAAUGGUCGGAGGUAAACUCAAUAAAAAGGUGAAAAGGAAGACAAGGAUGAGAUCUAAUGAAAAUGGUAGCAGAAUGAAUUAGUUGAUAUAUGGCAUGACUGGAGAAUGUCUUGUUCCAUACCUGCCAUCUUUGAAAACAAAACUUAAGGGCAAGAACUUUAUCACACUGCAUUGCAUGGGAGAUCUGGUUCAAAGUUUUGCUGUAAUAUGAAUGUGUUAUACUUUUGCUUUUUGUGUUCUUUUUUUGUUUGUUAUGUGUAGAAGAGUGCAUGUACUUCAUUUGCCUUGAGCUUGCAGUUUUGAUUUAUUUAAUACGUAUAACUGUAGCAUUAAUUGGUUGUAUAAUAAUAGAUGUUGUAUAUUUUUAAAAAUGAUAUGUAUUGGCCAAUGCUAAAAUAUUUUGUAUCUUAACAGUAUGCAGUUGUCUCAUUUCAUUGAAGGAGCUCAAUUCACGGUUUUAGCUUGUAUUGUAGUCUAUUUACUUAAUUUGCUAAAUUAUCAAACUGUUAUUCAAAAUAAAAUAAGCAUUAGUGACUUUUAUAAUAAUUACCUUAAUGAUUAAAUAUAUUUUUAUUUUCAAUAAAUAGUUGAUUUUUUUGUUUAUUUCCCAAUAAAAAAAAUUAUUUUGAGUACCUUAUAAAAUAAUAAAUUUUUUUGUUUCCCAGAUAUUUUUUUUGUAAUCCCUAAUAAAUUAGCACAUUUUUGUUUACUCCCUCUUAAAUUAACGAAUUUUGUUUUAAUCCUGAUUAAUAAUAAAUAAAAAAAAUUAUUAAGAAAUAAAUAAAUACACAAUUUGUGAAUUUAUCAUGGACUAAGAAAAGUAUCAAGGAUCAAAAUAAAAUGAUUUUUUUAUUUGAAACUCAACGGAAAGUAAAAUUUUAUUAAAAAUUAAAUAUUUAUUAGUUAUUAAAAUUAUAGUUAAAACUUAUCUUAAAGAUUAAAUAUAUUAUAAUUUUUAUUUGGUUCACAACAUAUAAAUAUUUACCAUUGUUAAAAUAUACUAUAAUUUCUCUUAAAUUAUUUUAAUGAAAAUAAAUAGUAAAAUAGUAGGAACUUAAUCUAAGUUACGUUUAGUAAAUAUUGGGUAAAAUUGGUAAGAGUGUGAGAAACUUAAUUAUUUAUCACUACCAAAUAUGUGGAUCAACUAAUGUGGGUUGUUGAGCCAGAGACUCAUGAGAAAAAAUAUUGUCUCAUAGUGAGAAGAAUAAAUCAUAAAAAAUAGAAAAGAUAAUAAAUUUGUUCAAUAUGAUUUAGACCUUCAUCCUUGUAUUAACAAUCUGAUACAUUUUAAGGACAAUUUAGACAAACUUACAAACAUUCUCUUCUAACGAUUCCCCUAUCUUAGUUAGGGUAGUGAUAUUUUCUUCACACUAGAUGUGGUGAUUCUUUUUAUCUCAAAAAAUUUCUAUUUACAGAUCUAACUAAUCUUAAAUGAAUUCAAAUCCAUAAUUUACAAAUAAUAUAUUUAAUUCUAAAUGGUAUCCUAAAAAUAAGAUAAUAUGUUUUUAAAAAUCUAAACAAUAUCCUAUAAAUUUGAUAUUCAUUGAUUGGACCAUCAUUAAUUCCUACAUACCCAACCUCUAUAUAAGUUUUUAUGACAAGUUAGACAAACUUACAAAUAUUUCCUCUACAUGACUCAAUCUCUCUUAGGGUGUUGACCUAGGCUGAGUGAUUAUUCUCAUCUCAUAAAUCUUAUUUUAUAGACAUAACAUCCUAAUCUUAAAUAAGAAAACAAAUAUCUAAGGGUGUGUUAGGUUUGCAUUUUUAUUUUUUAUUUUCAUUUCCUGUUUUUAUUUUCUGAAAACUGUUUUCAUUUUUCAAAUAUUAGAAUUCUAAAAACAUGUUUGGUUUGAUUUUUUGUUUUAUGUUCUCAGGAAAUAAAAACACUGAAAAUUUAUGAUAUAUUAACUUCUUGUUUUUUUUUGUAUUUUUAGAUUUGCUUAAAAUUACAUUCUUUGCCAUUACGUUUUUAUUUUAUCCAAAAUAAGGGUCCUGUUUUAACUGAAAACGAGAUGUUAUUGUUUUCAUUUUCUGGUUGUUUCCUAUUUUCAUUUUCACUCAAAAUGUUUUUAAAAAUCGAAUCAAACACAUCUUCAUCAUUAUUUUCUGUUUUCAGUGAAAAUGAAAACAAAAAACAACCAAAUCAAACACCUCCUAAUUUAUUAAUAAUAUAUUUAAUUUUAACAACAUUCUAAAAAUAAGAUAAUAUUUUGGUUAAGAAAACAAUAUCUGACAAAUUUGAGAAUACAAAUUUAAAUUAUUUCCUAAUAAAGUCAUCGAUAUGUAGUUAAAUACUUAGAAAAAGAGUUUCAUCAUCCAUAAUAAUCAUAUUGACUCAAACAAGAUUAUCUUCAAUCAAAUAUACCUAUCUACGGAAGAAAGACCUAUGUAAGAUAAAUCUAACAUGAAGCCAAGUUGGACUUAUGUAGAUCAAUUAACCAACUAAUCCCUAUGCCCACUCAUCACCUAAGCUCAACCAAACUCGCUUAAGCCCCAACCCUGCAUCGCUUAAGCUCUUAGCCAACACCACUUAAGCUACAUCAAAAAACAUGUUAGUUUUUGUGCCCAUUCUAGCUUAAGCGCUACCCAACACCACUUAAGCUACUUCAAACUAAUUUACUCAAAUUAAAAAAAUAAUAAUGAUUCUACUAUUUAAUCACUACACAUUAAAUACCUAAUUUAUUAUCCGCUUAUCAAGCAACUGGUCCAUUUAUCUUUUUUAUUUGUUUAUUACAUGUAAUUUUUAUUUCUUUUAUUUUUUAAAAUCUAAAAUUUUGAUCUCUAUUUUAAAAUAAAGAUAUUUAGUCUAUUAUUUUUUACAAUCUAAAAUUUUAGUUUUCUAAUUUAAAAUAGAAAUAUUAGUCUUUUAUAUUUAUAAAAUAUGUAAUUUUAGUUAUCCCAACUAAAAGCAUUGUCUGCUAAGAGCUUAAUUUUAAUUAUGAUACAGAUUAAAUAAAUUAUCUUGUAUCACAUUAUUAAAUUUGAAUCACAUUAAGUUAGCUUCUUAUUAAUUAACGCUAAAUGAUUAUGUGGAUAUAGGCAUACGGAUGAUUAAAAUGAUGAAUUUUAUAAAAUUAAGUAAUUAUAUGUUUUUAUUUUAAAAUAGAAGUAUUACAAUUGUAAAAUAUAAAAAUUAAGAAGAUUAAAUAUUUUUUAAAAUAUAGAUAUUAAAAUUAAAUAUUUUGAAAAUAGGAAAAAAAAUAUAUUUAAGUUUUCUUUUACCGGAGGUCCAUAUGUCCAGUACUUAGAAAUCUCGUCAUGAUAAAAAUGCGUCACUAGAGCAUAAUAUAAUAGCAUGAAGAACGUCAUUAUAAUUACAUUUAAGCCAUGAAGAACGUUGUUAUAUAUGCCAAUCCGCAAUACAUGGAAACUUCUGUUAUUGUUAGUGACACCAACAACAUUGAUCAUGAAACCAACUACGCUGAUUCUGUGACUGUAACAACAAAAGCAAUUACUAUAUGAAAAUGGAUAAAAUUUGAGAUGACUUUGUAAGCAUUGAUUUAUCGCACAACAAAUUUGAAGGAGAGAUUCCAAAUGCCAUUGGAGAGCUUCAUUCACUCAGAGGGCUAAACCUUUCCCAUAGCAGGCUUAUUGGUCCUAUUCCCCCAUCCAUGUGAAAUUUGACAAAUUUAGAAUCAUUGGAUCUCUCCUCAAGUAUGCUCACUGGCGGGAUACCUAGAGAAUUAAGCAAUUUGGACUUUCUUGAAGUCCUAAAUCUUUCCAAUAACCAUCAUGUGGGAGAAAUACCUCAAGGAAAACAGUUCAGCAGUACUUUUUCCAAUGACUCCUAUGAUAGAAACUUGGGGUUAUGUGGACUCCCAUUGACAGCAGAAUGAAGCAAGGACCUUGAACAACAUUCUCCACCUUCACUAACCUUUGGGGGAGAACAGGGAUUUGGAUUUGGUAGAAAGCAGUGGCUAUAAUGCGGAAUGGUCUUUGGAAGGGGAAUGGGAUGUUGUGUAUUGUUAAUGGGAAAGCCUCAAUGGCUUGUGAGAAUGGUUGGAGGUCAACUCAAUAAAAAGGUGAAAUGGAAGACAAGGAUGAGAUCUAAUGAAAAUGGUAGCAGAACGAAUUAGUUGACAUGUGGCAUGACUGUAGAAUGUCUUCUUGCUCACCUUCCCGUUGAAAUUCAAUUCUGUCUUGUUGGAAAACAAAACUUAAGGGCAAGAACCUUAUCACACUGCAUUGCAUAUGCAUGGGACAUCUGAUUCAAAGUUUAGUUGUAAUUGUAAUAUGGUGUUGUACUUUUUUUUCUUUGUGUUCGAUAGAUGAGUGUGAUAUACUUUUUUUUUUACUUCCAUUGCCCCAGAAACUCGGGUCUGAAUCAUCCAUAAGUUUGAUAAUUUUUCUGUUCAUUAAUACGCUUAGAUUGUUUUAUUUUUUUUAACUUUUUUAUAUUGGUGAAUAGUAUCAAGUUAAGUAGUGAAUAAUGUGUUGACAAUCAACAAUCAUUUCACUAAUAUGCUGCAUAUUACAAAAUUGUAGCAGUCAUUAAUACCAAUUUGCAUUAUCGACGCUAUUUUGUUCCCAUUGCUGUUGUGGAAGUACUUUUGCUCCAGACAAGGAAUGGAAAUUGACCAGGAAUUUUGUUUUUUUGUGCCAUCGAUUGAGUUUGUAUAAGUGAAGAUAUGUUGAUCUUCUGACCACCUUUUUUUUCGAAAUUAUAAUAAUUACUAGUUCGCUAUCUAAAUUCAUGGGAAAUUGAAAAUUGAUUCCCACGAAACUGUAUUCUUGUUCUACAUUACACUUCUCAGGUGUUCUUAGAAGUCCUCUUCCUACUGGUAAGCCAUAUCAUAUUCACUCUCCCUUGAAUUCUGAUUUUUACUUAUAAAUAAGUUAAUGUCUAAGAGCAGGGUUGAAUGAGCGUAAAAAUUAGUUUGUAUGCUUUAAAUUAAUAUUAAGCAUUGUGUUACUUCUAUGAUUGAGACAGCUAAUAGAGGAUGGGGUUGGAUUUUUGAAAUAAGGGGCGCAGAUACAAGUCUAGAUCCUCUUUAGUUUGUGAACUAAAAUUUUUGUUUUGGUUUUGCCUAUCUCUUAAGCUAUUAAAAUUAUUCUAGAAUCCACCUAAAGUUUUUUAUUCAAAAAUAAGUGUUGGAGUCUUAAGAUAAUGAUAUCAUUAAGAUAAUGAUAUCAAGUUUAUUUAUGUAAUUUGUUUUUGGUGACUUAUUGCAGAAAAUCUUCUUGAUAUUUACUUUCUUGGAUUUUUCAAAAAAUUGAUAUUAGAGUCAAUCUUCGACAUAGUGACCGGUUUAGACAAGGAAGAUGACGUCGAUGAAUUUAUGGAUAUAAAGUUUAUUGUAUCAAAAGUCUUUCUGUCACCUGAAUUCAUGCAUAAAUGUCACGUAACAGAGUUGUAGGUGUUAUGUACAAUAAUGCAAGAUACUAAAACAUGUUAUGACAAUGGCUAGAAGAGCUAGAGACACUAAAAAUUAAGUUUCAUGAGUCACUAUUAAAUAUUCUUAGAUUGAAAAUGACUUUCGGUCUUGACUUGAGAGCCUUUUUCUUAGUUUACACCUGGCUGUGCCAUUAACAAUUGAUAAUGCUGUCUAGCAAGCUAUAUUGUGAAGAUAAAUACUUCUCUUCAUAUUUGUCCAUUUUACAUAUUUCCUGGUGUCAAAAUAUUAUUUUUAUUGUAUUUUUAUAUCCUUUAAAAUAAAUUUGCUUUUGGAGUUUUCUCUUGGACGAGAUACCAUUCAAAGAAUUUCACAUAAUGUAAAUGCACGGGGUUCUUUUUUAAUUUUGAUUUUGUGGCAUUUAUCUCUAUAUUUGGUUGAUAUAUUUGAAACUUGAUAGCGCGAUUAGCUGAUGUAUCAGUCAACGGACCCUAGUAUGGAAAAAGAAUACGGUGAAGACAGAAUUUUUCCACAAACUAAUGUAUCAGCGUGAGUUUCCUUUAAUUUUCUUUUGAUUUAAAUAUUUUUGUGGACGUGUUUUAAUUUUCAUUUUUUGAUGUGAUUGGCGAGCUUAAUUUUCUAACCCAUAUUUUAAGGGUUGGCAGACUUGGAAAUCAACGCUUGGAUUUAAUUGAACUGGCUGUUUAUACAUGUUUUGUUUUUAGAAUCAUAUCACAUAUAUGUAGUCUGUUGGUGAAAGUAUAUAGUGGCAGCUUAUGUUUUGGGCAGAAAUUGUUUCCUCAAACUUUCAUGUGAUAAGACAAAUUAACUUCUGAAUUUUCACAAUAAUAUUCUUCUAUGCUAUCAUAAGAAGAAGAAAAAACCACCAAUAACUUGUAGAUGCAUGUUCUCUUAAACAGGUGGUAUUCUUCUAGACCCAAAAAAAAAGGUGGUAUUCUCUGUGUUCAAUUAUAUCUUUUGGCUGGGAUCUUCCUUUUUCAUAUGUUGGGGUUUAAAAUAUUUAAUAGGGAUUAAUUAACAGGAACAUAUCCAGAAAAUAAUAACAAGCUUAAACAUACAAAAUUAUGUUAAUUAAUAAAUUUCAUCACUAUAUAUUUUAUAUAAAAAAAUUAAUUAACCUGUAUAUAUAAUUUUUUAAAGAAAAAUAUGAGAGGGAAACCAUUCUUGUUUCAUUUGAUACUGCCAUGUUAAUCAAUCAUGUCUAAUAAAUAUUUUCUCCGAUUUCUAUUAUAAAAAAAUUAUUUCAUAUUUAUUAAAAAAUUAAUUACUUUUAUUAAAUUGUAUUAAUAUUAAAAUAUUUUUUUUCUAAAUUAUUCUUCACUAAAAGUUGAUAUGAAGCAUAAAAAUAUCCAGCCUUAUAUAUAUUGUAGGCCAACACACAUUUCAUUUGCUUUUCUUUAUGAAAAAAGUUAAAUUAAUAGAGGAUGGGAUUGCAUUUUGGAAAUAAAGGGCUCACAUACAAGUACCUAGGUACAGUUUAGUUUGUGGCCUUAAACUCUGUUUUGGUUUUACCUUUCCUCUUGUGCUAUUAAAAUUCUUCUAGCAUCCGUUCACAAGUUUUUUAUUCAAAAGUAUUUGACGUACUGUUAGUUUAGUUGUUGAGAGUCUUUUUGUACUCCAGAAUUAACUAUGCCAUUGACAAUGGAUAAUUCUGUCAAGCAUGCUAUAUUGUUAAGAAAAAUACUUCUCUCCUAGUUUGUUCAAUUUUACAAAUAUACGUAUAUCAAAUUUUGAUGGUGGUCUCAUUUUUUUGCCUCUAUUCCUUAUCUGCUUCCCUCACUUGGAAAAGUAAAAUGGUAUCAACAUAUUUUUUUUAUUGUAUUUUUAUAUUCUUUUGAAAUAAAUUUACUUUAGAGGAGUGUUUGGACCAGAUACCAUACAAACCAAUUAAAAAAUUUAAAUGCACGGUGUCUUUUUUAAUUUUUAUUUUGUGGCAUUUUUCCUCUAUAUUUGAUUGGUAUUUUUGAAACAUGAUUGCGAUUAGCUGAUGUAUAAAGUCAACGAACCCUAGUGUGGAAAAAUAAUACGGUGAAGACAGUUUUUCAACAACUAAUUUUAUCAGCCAGAGUUUCCUUUAAUCUUCUUUUGAUGUGAUUAGAGUGUCUAAUUUUCUAACCCAUAUUUUAAAGGUUGGAAGACUCGGAAAACAACUGUUUGGUUCAACUAGGAUUGAUUAUAUAUAUAAAACUCUGUGAAUUGAAUAAUAGUUGGGGGCGGGACCUAGGAUUUAUCUAGACAUAGCUUUCCAACUCUUAACAGCUAAAACUUCUAGACACAACCCCAAUUAGAAGAUCAACAGUACAUACACCUCAACUCAUGAAAAAAACCUCUAUAUUCCAUAGAUAAACUUAAAUUUCUCAAUUUAGGAUAUCUACAGUCCUAUACAACUGAUCAAGCGUACUCUCUAUCAAUUAAUGGAAUGUUGAGUAAUUUGAUCAAAUGAAGUUUCCAAUACAGGGUACCUCUUGCCCUUCAGUUUAGAGGUCUAAGCCAAUCACUUUAGGUAGGAUUUAAUCAAACCAUGACUUAAUUCAAUUAUAUUUUAAUGGAUUAAUUUGGGUCAACGGACGUAAUAAUUUAAUUUUUUUUUCUUUUUUAAAACCUAAUAUUUUGUAGAAAUUAAAUUUUUUAUUAAAUAAAUUAAAUAUAAUUAUUUCUUAUUAUAUUUUAUUAAAAAGAAAUUUUUGUGAUGUGACCGCAUCUUACUCCGCUAACUCCUAUUUAUCCAAAGGAAUUGGGAAAUUAAGUGUAUCAUAUCACAAGCUCUUUUUAAGGUUUAGCUUUAUUGGAAGAUCUUAUAAAUAGGAGAAAAAGUAAACUAUGCUGGAAAAAAAUGUUAAGCAAUGAAGUAGACAUUAAAGAAAAACAAAAAGAAAUAUUGAAUAGAAUUGUAUUGUUUAUAAUUUUUUACGUUAUCUUACUGUUUCUACUUUCUGCAAUACUUUUAUUUUAAUUUUUUAUUUAAUGUCUAAGAGUACCCGUAGUUGACAAGACACUUCUUGUAAACAAGAAGUCAUAUAAUAGAUAACUAGAAUAAGUUGAAUUUGGAUAAUAAUUUGAGUAUUCUCUGUCAUUGUGAGAGUUGUUCUUCUUUAAUAACUUUGAUUUUAUUAACAUAUUGCGAUUAUGAUCAAAUUCUACUUGUUCACUUUGCAUGAAUUUAACAUGAUCCUAUAAAUCGAUUCGUAUUAUUGUUUAUCAGACAAUAUAAUUAAUUGUUAGUACAGUGACCUGUGAGCACAUCUAUUUGUAUACAUAUGGUAUAGAUAAACUAUUGGUUUUUUCAAUUUGAGAACAAAUCUCCUAAUAUAAUUUUUGUUCAUUUCUAAUAUUUUACAAAAAUAUUGAUGUAACCGUAUUGUCAUCUCUAUUUUAAAUUUGGCAAUAACACAUCAAACUAAAUUAAAUAAAAUCGAAUUUCAAAUUUGGGAAUAACACAUUAUCUAAUAAUGACCUCCAAAUCAAUUUCGAUGACAAUGGUGUAACAACCUUAAUUAAUAACUUCUUUGACAUAUCUGCGUUCCUUCUUUGCAUAAAUUAACUUCCAAGUCAAUGCAAAACGUUUUGCAUGGGGUAGAAAAUGGGAAACUUUUUGGGAUACAAAUACCAAUUAUAUAUGUAAGUUCUAAAAGAUAGAAACUAUAUAACUCUAUUACUAUAAUAAAGAUCCAUUCUUUUUUAAUUGACAAAUUAUUUAGUUUAUUAAUUUUAUUUAUUCAAAUUAAUUUAUUCAAUGCUAUUUAAUUUCAGUCAACAAAUUGCUAUUUAAUUUAUUCAUCAAUACUCACUCACUUGCUAAAACUUAUUAUCCGUCUUCACUGAAGUCUAAAGGUUUACAAAUUAGAAAAUGCAUUUUAAAGAGAAAAAUUAAAACGAUAAAAUAGAUAUAUGAAGUAGAAAAAUCAAAUAAAUCAUGUUUGCAAAGAGUUCCUAGAGAUAAUAUAAUGAAAGGGUUGAGAAAUGAAUGUUGAUUUGCAUGAGGGAUGGGUUGUUGUAGUGUAUACUCCUUGCGUGUUAACAAAAUUAAUUUUAAAUGUAAUUGAUUUUGUAAAAUUGAUUUUGAAGUAAUUAAUGUUUGUAUGUUUUAUUAUAAAAUUAAAUUAACAAUAAAAUUUGUUAUAAAAUUUUAGAUUCAAUACAGAAAUUGUUUAAAACAUAUAAAAAUAUAUUUAAAAUUAAUUAUAGAUUCAAAAUCAAUUUUUCAUCGUGAAUCAAACAAUAAAAAGUCUCAAAAUGGUUGAUGAAGGAUAAUUUUUUUAAAAAAUUUAUCAUUUGGAGAUAAAAUUUAAGUUGAUAUUCCAAAAGGAAUAAGUCUUAAUAAAUAAUGCAACUUCUAAAUUAAAAAUAGUGAAAUUUGUUAUAACUUUUUUUUAUUUUUUACAUUAAAGUCAUAAGAAAUUUUAUGGACUUCAUUUUUAUUUUUUAAAUACGUCUAAAAUUUAAUUCUCAUAGACAUUAAAGUCAUAAUUUUUUUUAUUGAAUUCGUAAAUUAUUUUAUGACUUUAAUUUAUUUUGCAUCUGAUAUAUUUUUUAAAAUUAUAAAUAAUUUUUAUUUUGGUUAUUUAAUAAAUUAAUGAUUUUAGUUUUAUUUAAUAUUUUGGUUAUUUUGCUAAAACCACCCUCAUCCGAUUCACCAAAGGUUUACAAAAUUCGCUCCGUCAUGUUGUUUCAUUGCUAGUUGGUAUUUUAAAGGGAAAACAUGGUUAAACAAAGAUAUGAAGUAGAAAAAUAAAAUAAAUCAUGUUUGCAGAAAAAAUGAGUUCCAAGUCAAGUCAAUUUAAAUAGCAAUUGCUGGGACAACUUUGAUAGCGUGUAAAAGGAUCAUAAGAUUUAUGGUCAAUUUGCGUGAGGUUUGGGCUGUUGAAGACUUGAAGCUUAAUUUAGCCACAAAUUUUGCAUAUCAUCUUUUAAAUUUGGCUAUAAAUAUUAAUGUUUGGUUGCUCAGUAUUAAUUUCAUGUAUAUUUGAGUAGAAAAUGGAAUCAUGGAUGUGGUGUUUCCUUCUCUGUUCCCAUUUGCUCAUCCUUUAUUUUUCACCCUCUCAUUCCUUAUGCCACCCCCAUGACACCUCUGCCUUGCUCCACUUCAAAAACUCCUUCACUAUUUAUGAAGAUCCUUAUUAUUCUUAUUAUUGUGAUCAUGGUUAUUCAAAGACGACAACAUGGGAAAAUGGGACAGAUUGUUGCUCUUGGGCUGGAGUCAGCUGCAACCCCAUCUCAGGUCACGUCACUGAGCUCGACCUCAGCUGCAGUCGCCUUUACGGCAAUAUCCAUCCAAACAGUACGCUUUUCCAUCUUUCUCAUCUUCACUCACUCAACCUUGCUUUCAAUGAUUUUAAUUAUUCUCAUUUGUCAUCUCUCUUUGGUGGGUUUGUGAGCCUCACUCAUCUCAACUUGUCUAAUUCUCACUUUGAAGGGGAUAUUCCUUCCCAAAUCUCUCACCUUUCCAAAUUAGUCUCACUUGAUCUCUCUGGUAAUAAUUUGUUAAAGUGGAAGGAAGACACUUGGAAGAGAUUGCUCCAAAAUGCAACAGUUUUAAGGGUGCUUGUUUUGGAUCAAACAGAUAUGUCUUCCAUUUCAAUCAGGACACUCAAUAUGUCUUCCUCUUUGGUUACUCUUAGUCUAGGACUGACUUGGCUAAGAGGAAACUUGACAGAUGGCAUUCUCUGUUUACCAAAUCUUCAGCACUUGGAUCUUUCACUUAAUCGGGCCCUUGAAGGUAAGCUUCCAGAAGUGAGUUGCAGAACAACUUCUCUUGAUUUCUUAGAUCUUUCACUUUGUGGUUUCCAAGGGUCAAUCCCUCCCUCUUUCUCCAACCUCAUACAUCUCACUUCCCUGGACCUCUCAGGUAACAACCUCAACGGUUCAAUCCCUCCCUCUUUCUCCAACCUCAUACAUCUUACUUCCUUGGAUCUCUCAUAUAACAACCUCAACGGUUCAAUCCCAUCCUCACUCUUAACCCUUCCAUGGCUAAACUUUCUGUAUCUAAACUAUAACCAACUCAGUGGUCAAAUCCCAGAUGCCUUUCCUCAGUCAAACAGCUUUCACGAAUUGCAUUUGAGUGAUAACAAAAUAGAGGGUGAGCUGCCUUCAACACUUUCAAAUCUUCAACAUCUCAUUCACUUGGAUCUUUCACAUAAUAAAUUGGAGGGCCCUCUGCCUAACAAUAUAACAGGGUUUUCAAACCUAACAUCGUUAUGGUUAUCUGGAAACUUACUGAAUGGGACAAUUCCUUCUUGGUGUUUAUCUUUGCCAUCUUUGGUGGAUUUAGAUCUAUCAGGCAACCAACUCUCUGGGCAUAUUAGUGCAAUCUCAUCAUAUUCCUUGGAGACAUUGUUUUUAUCCCACAACAAGUUACAAGGCAAUAUUCCAGAAUCAAUUUUUAGCCUUCUAAACCUUACUCACUUAGAUCUAUCAUCAAACAAUUUAAGUGGAUCUGUCAAAUUUCAUCGUUUCUCCAAGCUUCAAAAUUUGGAAAAACUUCACCUUUCAUGGAAUGAUCAGUUAUCACUAAAUUUCGAAUCCAAUGUCAAUUAUAGUUUCUCUAAUUUAAAGUUGUUGAACUUAUCUUCUAUGGUUUUAACUGAAUUUCCAAAAUUAUCGGGAAAAGUCCCAAUUUUAGAAUCACUCUAUUUGUCCAAUAACAAACUUAAAGGUAGAGUGCCACAUUGGUUGCAUGAAGUAUCGUUAUCUGAAUUGAACCUUUCUCAUAACCUAUUGACGCAAUCAUUGGACCAAUUCUCAUGGAACCAACAACUCGGUUACCUUGAUCUUAGUUUUAACUCAAUCACUGGUGACUUCUCUUCCUCAAUUUGCAAUGCAAGUGCAAUUGAGAUUCUCAACUUGUCUCACAACAAGUUGACAGGAACCAUUCCACAAUGCCUUGCAAACUCAUCAUCCCUUCUAGUUUUGGAUCUACAACUGAACAAGCUUCAUGGCACUUUGCCAAGUAUCUUUUCAAAGGACUGUCGGCUCAGAACUCUGGAUCUCAAUGGCAACCAACUAUUAGAAGGUCUUUUGCCAGAAUCUUUGUCCAAUUGCAUUGAUCUGGAGGUUUUAGAUCUUGGAAACAAUCAAAUAAAGGAUGUGUUUCCCCAUUGGCUUCAAACUCUACCAGAAUUGAAAGUAUUGGUUUUGCGAGCCAACAAGUUGUACGGUCCCAUUGUCGGUUUAAAGAUCAAGCAUGGAUUCCCCCGUUUAGUCAUCUUUGAUGUCUCUUUCAACAACUUCAGCGGCCCAAUACCAAAAGCCUACAUACAAAAAUUUGAAGCGAUGAAGAACGUUGUUAUAGAUACCGAUCUGCAGUACAUGGAAAUUUCUAUUGGAGCUAAAAAGAUGUACAGUGAUUCUGUGACUAUAACAACAAAAGCAAUUACUAUGACAAUGGACAAAAUUCCAAAAGGCUUUGUCAGCAUUGAUUUAUCAAAAAACGGAUUUGAAGGAGAGAUUCCAAAUGCCAUUGGAGAGCUUCAUGCCCUCAGAGGGCUCAACCUUUCCCAUAACAGAAUUAUUGGUCCUAUUCCCCAAUCCAUGGGAAAUUUGACAAACUUAGAAUCAUUGGAUCUCUCCUCAAAUAUGCUCACUGGUGGGAUACCUACGGAAUUAAGCAAUUUGAACUUCCUUGAAGUCCUAAAUCUUUCCAAUAACCAUCUUGCGGGAGAAAUACCUCGAGGACAACAGUUCAGUACUUUUACCAAUGAUUCCUAUGAGGGAAACUCAGGGUUAUGUGGACUCCCACUGACAAUCAAAUGCAGCAAGGACCCUGAACAACAUUCUCCAACUUCAACUACCUUGAGGAGAGAAGGAGGAUUUGGAUUUGGUUGGAAACCAGUGGCUAUAGGAUAUGGAUGUGGAAUGGUCUUUGGAGUGGGAAUGGGAUGUUGUGUAUUGUUAAUAGGAAAGCCUCAAUGGCUUGUGAGAAUGGUCGGAGGUAAACCCAAUAAAAAGGUGAAAAGGAAGACAAGGAUGAGAUCUAAUGAAAAUGGUAGCAGAAUGAAUUAGUUGAUAUAUGGCAUGACUGGAGAAUGUCUUGUUACAUACCUGCCAUCUUUGAAAACAAAACUUAAGGGCAAGAACUUUAUCACACUGCAUUGCAUGGGAGAUCUGGUUCAAAGUUUUGCUGUAAUAUGAAUGUGUUAUACUCUUGCUUUUGUCGUAUAACUGUGGCAUUAAUUGGUUGUAUAAUAAUAGAUGUUGUAUAUUUUUAAAAAUGGUAUGUAUUGGCCAAUGCUAAAAUAUUUUGUAUCUUAAUUCAAGGAGCUGAAUUCACGGUUUUAGCUUCCAUUGUAGUCUAUUUAAUUAAUUUUCUAAGUAUUUAACCACCGUGAAAUGGCUUUAGAAGCUGAGGUUGAGGUCCAGGUAUAAGAGCACAAACAAUGCAUACUAAAGGAUGGCUAUGGGUAUAGCCUAGGCCUUAUGGUCCGUAGGAUAUCACAUAUUUAUUUUUUAUUAAGUAAUUUUUCCCAAAUUAGAACAAUUGUCUGGUGAAAAUUUUCAAACUUUGAAAUAAAAGUUGCAGUACUAAAAUCAGUUAUAAUUAAACCUAAACUUUUUCUUUUUCAAUUACUAUUACGAUAAAUUGGUAGUGGUACGUGCUGUAAAUAUUACAUCUACUUAUAAUGUCAGCACCCAAAAAUUAUUUUUAUAAUGUAAAAUUUACAUUGUCAUUAAUUUGCUUUAUUAAUUUUUAUUAUAACUAUUUUAAAUUUAUAUUAUUAUCAUAAAAUCUGAAAAAUCGUAUCUAUAAUUUUUAAUUAAGCGUAAAAUUUUGUAACUUUUAUAAAUUUUAGUAAAUAUUAAAAAAAUAUAUAAUAUAAUGCUAGUAUUUUUCAAAAAAAUCAACAUUAUCAUUAAAUAAACCUGUGUGUUGUACAAUAAUUCCCUUUUAUCAUUCAAAAGAAAAAUUGAAACUGUUAUUCAAAAUAAAAUAACCAUUAGUGAAUUUUAUGAUAAUUACCUUAAUGAUUAAAUAUAUUUAGUUAAUUUUUUUUGCUCCCUAAUAAAUUUUUGUUUUGUUUUGAGUAUUAUAUAAAACAAUAAUUUUAUUUUUGGUCCUAGAUAUUUUGUUGUAUAUAAUCCCUAAUAAGUUAGCAAAUUUUUGUUUACUUCCUUUUAAAUUAACAAAUUUUGUUUUAGUCCCAACUAAUAACAAAUGAAAAAAAUUAUCAAGAAAUAAACACACAAUUUGUGAAUCUAUCAGGGACUAAGAAAAGUAUCAAGAACCAAAAUAAAAUGAUUUUUUUAUUAGAAACUCAACGAAAAGUAAAAAUUUAUUAAAAAUUAAAUACAAAAAAUAAAUAUUUAUUAGGGAUUAAAAUUAUAAUUAAAACUUGUCUUAAAUAUUAAAUCUAUUAUAAUUAUUAAUUGGUUCACAACAUAUAAAUAUUUACACUUGUUAAAAUAUACUAUAAUUUCUCUUAAAUUAUUAGGUAAAAUUGGUAAGAGUGUGAGAAACUUAAUUAUUUAUCAAUACCAGCUAUGUGAAUGAACUAAUGUGAGUUUUUGAGCUAGAGACUCUUGGGAAAAAAAUAUUGUCUCAUAAUGAGAAGAAUACAUCAUAAAAAAAUAGAAAAUAUAAAAAUUUGUUUAAUAUGUUUCAACCCUCAUCCUUGCAUUGACAAUAUUAUACAUUUUAAGGAUAACAUAGAAAAAUUUACAAACAUUUUCUCCUUACGAUUUCCCCUCUGUUUGUUAGGGUAGUGACAGUUUCUUCGCACUAGAUGUGGUGAUUCUUCUCAUCUCAAAAAAUCUCUAUUUAUAAACCUAACAUUCUAAUAUUAACUGAAUUCAAAUCCUUAAUUUAUAAAUAAUAUAUUUAAUUCUAAAUGAUAUCCUAAAAAUAAGAUAAUAUCUUUUUUAAAAGCUAAACAAUAUCCUAUAGAUUUGUUAUUCAUUGAUUGAACCAUCAUUAAUUCCUACAUCCACAACUUUUAUAUAAGAUUUUAUGACAAGCAAGACAAACUUGCAAACCUUCCCUUGAUAUGACUCAUCUCUCUUAGGGUAUUGACCUAGGUUGAGUGAUUAUUCUUAUCUCAUAAAUCUUAUUUUAUAGACAUAACAUUCUAAUCUUAAAUGAGGAAACAAAUACCUAAUUUAUUAAUAAUAUAUUUAAUUUUAUCAACAUUCUAAAAAUAAGAUAAUAUCUUUUUUUAAGAAAAUAAAUAUCUUAUAGAUUUGAGAAUACAAAUAAGAUAUAUCUAACAAGAAGCAAAGUUGGACUUAUGUAGAUCAACCAACUAAUCCCUAUACCCACUCAUCACCUAAGCUCAGCCAAAACUCGCUUAGGCCUCAACCCUGCAUCGCUUAAGCUCUUAGCCAACACCACUUAAGCUACAUAAAAAAACAUGCUAAUUUUUGUGCCCAUUCUAGCUUAAGCGCUACCCAACACCAUUUAAGCUACUUCAAACUAAUUUACUCAAAUUAAAAAGAAUAAUGAUUCAACUAUUUAAUCACUACACAUUAAAUACCUAAUUUAUUUUCCGCACAUCACGCAACUGGUCCAUUUAUCUUUUUUAUUUAUUUCUUACAUGUAAUUUUCUUUUUAUUUUUUAAAAUCCAAAAUUUUCAUCUCUAUUUUAAAAUAAAGAUAUUUAAUCGAUUGUUUUUUACGAUCUAUAAUUUUAAUUUUCUAUUUUAAAAUAGAAAUAUUAGUCAUUUAUAUUUAUAAAAUAUGGAAUUUUAGUUAUCCCCAACUAAAAGCUUUGAUUGUUAAGAGCUUAAUCUUUAUUAUGAUAUAGAUUAACUAAAUUAUCUUGUGUCACAUUAUUAGAUUUGAAUCACAUCAAGUUAGCUUCUUACUAAUCAACGCUAAAUGAUUAUGUGGAUAUAAUCACAAAUGAUCAAAAUUAUAAAUUUUAUAACCUUAAGUAAUUAAUUGUUUUUAUUUUAAAAUAGAAGUAUUAAAAUUGUAAAAUAUAAAAAUUAAGACGGUCAAAUAUUUUUUAAAAUAUAGAAAUCAAAAUUAGAUAUUUUGAAAAUAGGAAAAAAUUACAUUUAAGUUUUUAUUUUUAUUUUUUACCGGAGGUCCAUAUGUCUAGUACUUAGAAAUCACGUCAUUAUAAAAAUGCGCCACUAGAGCAUAAUAUAAUAGCAUGAAGGACGUCAUUAUAAUUACAUUUAAGCCAUGAAGAACGUUGUUAUAUAUGCCAAUCCGCAAUACAUGGAAACUUCUGUUAUGGUUAGUGACACCAACAACACUGAUCAUGAAACCAACUACGCUGAUUCUGUGACUGUAACAAAAAAAAACAAUUACUAUGAAAAUGGACAAAAUUCGAAAUGACUUUGUAAGCAUUGCACAACAGAUUUGUAGGAGAGAUAUUCCAAAUGCCAUUGGAGAGCUUCACUCACUCAGAGGGCUAAACCUUUCCCAUAACAGAUUUAUUGGUCCUAUUCUACAAUCCAUUGGAAAUUUGACAAAGUUAGAAUCAUUGGAUCUCUCCUCAAAUAUGCUCACUGGCGGGAUACCUAGAGAAUUAAGCAAUUUGAACUUUCUUGAAGUCCAAAAUCUUUCCAAUAACCAUCUUGCAUUUGUGGGAGAAAUACCUCAAGGAAAACAGUUCAGUACUUUUUCCAAUGACUCCUA
rnacentral:lncRNA from 1 species